rnacentral:lncRNA from 1 species
UUUUGGGUUCUUGAUUUCCUUGUUUGUCAGAAGCACCCAGCCAGGGAGGGAUGGAGAGAGUCUGGACUUUUACCUGGACCUCACAAGAGGAAAAUAAAUGAUCCAGCCCCUCAAAGGCUGAUAGCUGUACCCAAAUACAUUCUAGCCUUUGCUUCUCUCAAAACAUCGACAUACUGAUGUUCUAAAGCUACAUUUAUUUUAGAACAACCAAGGAGAGGGGGAAAAAAAUCUUCCUUGCAACGUUUUUUCUUCUGAACUUUGAACUGAUUAUUUUUCUUCCACAUACCCUGGGGUCUUAGAAAGGACAGUCCUUGGGAAAGAUGGAACAGGACACCACGAAGAAGUUGGAGCAAGCGUUUUAAAGAUAAAUGGUAAAACUGAACUGGAAAUCCAUCUGGCCGGCUGCCUGCUCUAAUGAAUAACCCCACUUUGGCUCCUGCAAUGUAAGCAGAAAGUUCUCUCCCGGCCUCUUUCGUCUGUCAUGAAUCUACAAGACAGCCGACAUAAUAUCUGGGCGACAACGGUGCGCUAACAGUGCGGUGACUUCCAUUUUCUUUGCUUUCUAUUGAUUUUCACUUAAUAACUGGCGAAAUACUAAACGUCCGCCCUGAGUACCUAAUAAAUCCUGCCUGAGCUUU